rnacentral:lncRNA from 1 species
GCAAAAAAGUUCCUGGCUAAUGGAGUUCCCAGGCUAUGGGUCAAAUAGGAGCUGUAGCUGCUGGCCUACACCACAACCAAAGCAACACCAGAUACUAGCCACAUCCGUGACCUACACCACAGGUUACAGCAAUGCCAGACUCUUAAUCCACUGAACUGAGGAUAGGGAUUGAACCUGCAUCCUCUUGGAUUCUAGUCAGAUUCAUUUCUGCUGAACCAUGAUGGGAACUCCCCAUAUGGUGACCUUUUAAAUCAAUCCUACAAGAACAAAAUAUGAGGUUAAAGAUAAAACACUUUGAUGGAAUGUUUUCAGACAUUAACAUCAUUGUGAAGACCAUGCAGGACAAUGAAUGCCUAUUACUAUGUUACGGAACAAAGAAAAUAAAAACUUCCCUAAGUCUAAAGACAGAAUAUAUAUACAGACAGGAAGAAGGCCAUUUAAAAAAUCUAAUGAUAGGGUGGGAUUAGAAGUGAAUGGUGAAGUCCACUUUGAUCUGUAAAGUUUGAAAAUAAUACAAAACAAAAUACAAUCUUUGUUUUCUGCCACAUCCCAGCUUUUAAGGCCUUUUAGAUGUUCCUAAAUCUAUAAAGGACUAGCACCCCAUACAAUUCUGAUAUGCAGCUAAUUCUAGAAACCUUGACCAACUGGCUUCACAGUUUUCCCAAUGUAAUUUUUAAUCAGUCAUCCUCUCCAAAUUGGUUUACUCACUGUCCCAAACAUAGCUUUUCUUACGUAACUGCAUCCUUGCUCACAAUCUCCAUUCACUUAGAAUGACUUCCCUUCUUCUAAUUUUACAUACUACAUACCACUAACCUUGAAAAGCCUUCAAUGAUGGCUCAACAAAUGAUGGCUUUUUGUUGGUACUACAACACAAUUUGUGUUUUUAAAAACAAUUAGAGCUAACUGUGUACUGAUCUUUUGACAAAUCAAUUUUUGUAGGGAGCCAUGAUUUAACUUUAAAAAGUUCAAUUAAUCUAAACUGACCAAACCUUUCGAAGUAACUAUAUUAACUUCCACAUAUUUAAUUACGGUCUUCCCUUUACUGAUAGUAAGCUCCUGGAGCACAGGUCCUUGCCAGGAAGGAAUGCUACAAAGUAACCUAGAUGACUUGAAUCCAAAUUCUAACAUAUGCUCUUGUUUGCAUCAUAUAUGAAAGAAACUCAGUGUCUAUGAAUGGUCAUAAAAUACGCACUGAUAUCUAGGGCACAAGACAAUGUAGAAAUAGCAAAGGGUGCUAAUA